rnacentral:lncRNA from 1 species
UAUCAUCAGAUCCGGGAUUAAGCAAGCCUUGCAACAUUUUCAGGCCUAGCGCUUCAUUCGUCUUCUAUGAUUGUCAUCCUUUUUCAGCAUUUCAAAUUUACCCUUGUCAACCUCAACAUCCACUGGUGUGCAAACAGGGAAAGAAUGUUUCAACUCAGAUUGCCUUGUCAUCGUCACGCUCACAAUACUUGAUUAAAGCAUUUUCCUAGGGACCAUGAAAGUGGUUACCCCAAGCUUGUUCUCCACUUCAACUGCAUUAUCUUUAGCCUUUUGAGUGUGAACUUGCCCCCCGAGUACGUUCCUGAGGGUGAAGUGUAAUUUAUGGAAGACCAUGUAAGGGAAAAUUUGGGUCUGUGAUACUCUUUGUUGCAGUCGUGGUGCACACGAAUCUCCAGUUCCCUCUAAGGCAUUCAGGGUCUCAAAGGCUUGGCUCAUUUGCCCCUUCAAUUAUUGGAUAUCAACUUUCAUCCCUUCUUGAACUUCCCCUUGGUUCUCCAAGAUUUGGUAACUGGUUCGAGUCCUUUAGGGUAUCUUGGAUUCCUUUUUUUAAAAUUUUAUUAGAUGAAACAAAAAGAAAAUAAAAAUGAAAAGAAAAAGAGAAGACCAUGUAGUUCAAAUGCUCUAGUCAGAAAUUAUAAGGCCAUGAAAAGAUUGCCCCGGUAUAAUUUGGAAAUUAACAAAGACUGAGUCAAUAGGAUGGCUCGUCAUUCAGAAGUUCACAACAUGUGAGGCAUAUGAAGUCUUAGUCAACUACCCUGGGGCUUUAACCAUCAGAUUUUUCAUUGAUCCCAUUGAUUUCUUGCAGCAAUUGAGGAAAGUUUUAUUUCCCUUAAGCGGGUUAAAAUAUCGGCAAUGUAGCCUCAGC